rnacentral:rRNA from 1 species
AUUAGUAUUAGUUUUUUUCUUGAAAAUUAAAGAUUUUGGCGGUAUUUUAGUCUACUCAGAGGAACCUGUUCUGUGAUUGAUAGUCCACGAUUUACUUUACUCUAUUAAUUUGUAUAUCGCCGUAGUUUGAAUAUUUUAUAAGAAUUUUAAUGUUCAUGUAUUUUUAUAAGAUUUGAAAUCAGGUCAAGGUGCAGUUUAUAGAAGAGAAGAAAUGGGUUACAAUAAAUUUAUUUAUAUGGAUUUUUAAAUGAAAUUUUAAUUUGAAUGUGGGAAAGUAAUAUUAUUAAUUUAUUUUUAUGAUUUUGGCUCUAAAAUAUG